rnacentral:lncRNA from 1 species
AAGGCGCUGCACUGUUGGUGGUUUGGUUCGGGGGUUCCCCAGGUGAGCGCCCCCACCUACUCCCCCAGGACUUACGGAGUCAGACGGUGCAGGGGUGUGAGCGUCCAGUGGUAUUUGGGAACCACGUGUCCUGGUCUGGAGAAAGGGCGGCGUCUUCUUUGUGGCCGGGGAAGAAGGAAGGAGGCCCCGGGCCCUGAACGGGGGCGGAAGCUCGGGUUUCUGUCUCACCUGCUGCUCCCAAGCACCGAGGAGCUGCUGGGGGGGGGGGGGGGGGGGGGGGGCGGGGAGUGGCCUGGGGGCGCCUGCGCUGCGCCCGCCUCGCCCCUCGGACCCAGGAAUCCGGACCCCCAGGGCGUUCUCCCUCAGACCCGGGGGUCCAGGGCCGCAGCCCCUCCUCCCUCAGACCCGGGGGUCCAGGACCCCACCCCUCUUCCCUCAGACUCGGGGGUCUGGACCCCAAGCCCCUCCUCCCUCGGACCCUGGAGUCUGGACCCCAAGCCCCUCCUCCCUUGGAUCUGGGAGUCCGUACCCCUAGGCGGUCCUCCCCAACCCAGAACUGCAGCCCCCGCCGAAUGCCUACACAGCCACACUGCCCUCCAGCUGCACGUGAAGAAAGGGGCUGGGCUCGGCCAGGUCUGCGUCGGUCCUGGCCCAGAGCCACUGAGACCUGGGGCUGUGGCCUCCCCACUCCUACCCCUGUCUUCCCCAUCAGUGGGGCACCAGUCCCAGCCUGCCCCCACCCCACCCCCCAAGGCUGAGCUCAGAAAACAUUUGUGGCAUGGACGCUCAGGGACGCGAAGUGACAGAAGCGGGGCACAGAAGAAAGCAGGGCCCCUCCCGCGGCGGCACCCGGGUGGGCGCGGGGCGAGGGGUCGCACUGGGCCGGCUCCUCUGCGCCGGCCAGCGCCCGGCACGCGGGCAGGCGCGUCAGCCCUCCCCUCCGCGGCUCCCGACCGGGACACCCUUCCCUCACCCUCCAGGCCACCUGGGGUUGCCAAACUUGCCCUUCAGGUUUGGCUCCGGCCGCCCCGCCCCUCCUUCCUCCAGGAAGCCUGCCUUGACCCUCUGAACCGCCUCUUCUGGGCUCCCAAGUCACCCUCGGCGUUGCUGUUGUAG